GAUGAACGCUGGCGGCGUGCUUAACACAUGCAAGUCGAACGGAAAGGCCCAAGCUUGCUUGGGUACUCGAGUGGCGAACGGGUGAGUAACACGUGGGUGAUCUGCCCUGCACUUCGGGAUAAGCCUGGGAAACUGGGUCUAAUACCGGAUAGGACCACUUCUUGGAUGUUGUGGUGGAAAGUUUUUUCGGUGUGGGAUGAGCUCGCGGCCUAUCAGCUUGUUGGUGGGGUAAUGGCCUACCAAGGCGUCGACGGGUAGCCGGCCUGAGAGGGUGUACGGCCACAUUGGGACUGGGAUACGGCCCAGACUCCUACGGGAGGCAGAAGUGGGGAAUAUUGCACAAUGGGCGCAAGCCUGAUGCAGCGACGCCGCGUGGGGGAUGACGGCCUUCGGGUUGUAAACUCCUUUCGCUAGGGACGAAGCGUUUUGUGACGGUACCUGGAGAAGAAGCACCGGCUAACUACGUG
rnacentral:rRNA from 1 species